AUAUCGUGAUGUGGACACUUCCUAAGCAAGUCAUUGAGGCGCUCCCAUGCCUCAUAAAAUAAUUCCCCAUCCUUUUGAGAAAACUCUCGAAUUGAGGUUCUCAUUGC